rnacentral:rRNA from 1 species
GACGAACGCUGGCGGCGUGCCUAAUACAUGCAAGUCGAGCGGACGGAUGGGAGCUUGCUCCCAGACCGUCAGCGGCGGACGGGUGAGUAACACGUGGGCAACCUUCCUGUAAGACUGGGAUAACUCCGGGAAACCGGGGCUAAUACCGGAUAACUCCUUCCCUCACAUGAGGGAAAGCUGAAAGAUGGCAUCUCGCUAUCACUUACAGAUGGGCCCGCGGCGCAUUAGCUAGUUGGUGAGGUAACGGCUCACCAAGGCGACGAUGCGUAGCCGACCUGAGAGGGUGAUCGGCCACACUGGGACUGAGACACGGCCCAGACUCCUACGGGAGGCAGCAGUAGGGAAUCUUCCGCAAUGGACGAAAGUCUGACGGAGCAACGCCGCGUGAGUGAUGAAGGUUUUCGGAUCGUAAAACUCUGUUGUCAGGGAAGAACAAGUACCGGAGUAACUGCCGGUACCUUGACGGUACCUGAUCAGAAAGCCACGGCUAACUACGUG